GACGAACGCUGGCGGCGUGCCUAAUACAUGCAAGCAGAACGCUGAAGGAGGAGCUUGCUUCUCUGGAUGAGUUGCGAACGGGUGAGUAACGCGUAGGUAACCUGCCUGGUAGCGGGGGAUAACUAUUGGAAACGAUAGCUAAUACCGCAUAAGAGUAGCUGUCGCAUGACAUUUGCUUAAAAGUCGCAAUUGCAUCACUACCAGAUGGACCUGCGUUGUAUUAGCUAGUUGGUGCGGUAACGGCCCACCAAGGCAACGAUGCAUAGCCGACCGGAGAGGGGGAUCGGCCCCACUGGGACUGAGACACGGCCCAGGCUUCUACAGGAGGCAGCGGUAGGGAAUCUUUGGCCAUGGACGGAAGUCUGACCGAGAAACGCCGCGCGGGUGAAGAAGGCUUUCCGAUCGUAAAGCUCUGUUGUAAGAGAAGAACGAGUGUGGGAGUGGAAAGUUCACACUGUGGCGGUAACUUAACAGAAAGGGACGGCUAACUACGUG
rnacentral:rRNA from 1 species